CACCGCGGGCCGAGGCGCGGGGUGGGUUGCAGUCCUAAGGACCUCAGACUCGAUUUGCAGAAAUAGAAAUGUGUUUGACUAUGAAUACUAUCCCAAGCCCCUGUGGAAGCAUUAUGUAAUAUGUGAAUCCACCUCCUACGUGUUCCAGAGGACGAUGACCACGAUGAUGGAGGAGGCCAAGAAGAGCAGGUAGAGGCGGAAGAGGAAGGUGUCCAUCAUAUGGCUGAACCGCACCCACAGGCCAGCUAGUUGAGUGCUUGUCAGUCCUGAGUCCCCACUCAGCUCUGCCUCCCUGGGUGCCAGCUCCUUCCCUACCAAGUGCCCCGGAUCCUUCGGUCCUGUGGAGAAGACAGAGACUCAGCUUCAAAGUGGGAAAGAGACAGGAUUGGGGAGGUGGGGGCCUGAGGAAGCUGGCUCCAGUGUAGAGAGUGUAGGCGGUGCAGACUUUUCUUACCCGGCAGGUGAGGGGGCGUGAGGCCUGGGCCCAUAUUCUCCUUCCAGAGCUUGGUGGGGCAGCAUGUCCUUGGGCUGGCCCAGGAGAGGAGCAGAGAAUGGAGCCACCAAGGCAUGGCUGGGGGCUGGGUGGUGGCCAGGUGCAGCAGGUAGGUGAUGAAGAUGGUCUCCAGCAGGCUGACCACCAUCAGGGACAGACACAGGGCAAAGUAGACACCUGGGGCGGGGGUAUGGAGCAUGCAUGAGUGGGGCCCAGAAGAAGCAGCAAUCCCCCGCUUUUCUCUGUUUCACACACAAAGCCCUUUCUGAAAUGACCAUGACCACUUUCUCCUUUCUGCCUUAGCUGUGUCAGCAGGUCUAGCCAGCGCACUUGUGUACCCUGCCUCCUUUUAUCCCCCCCUACUUUCCAACAGUAAGGAGGUAGGCAUACUGAUGAGGGGGGUGCCACUAGCAGGAAGUAGUUUAUUCAUCAUGAGCAGGAAGACGUUGUAGCCCAGCAGAAGGGUUAUCUUGAAUGGGGCACGGUUCUCGCUUUCUGCCGGCAGGUAGAAGCUGAGGGCGUCGAUGGCAAUCAGGAAGCUACUGGGCACCAGGAGGUUUAUGAUGUAGAGGUUGGGCCUGUGCCUGAUGGCCACCUGGAGGCAGGAUAGAGCAGAGAACCAGGUGAAGCUAGGGCUCAGGGAAGACUGAGGGAUGAUUGCAGCUCCUUUCUCCCUUGGUGUCCUCAACCCAGCAGGGGCUCUUCCUGGGUGAAAAGCAGCCUUCACAUGACUAAAAAAAACUCUGCCACACCCACCAAAGAAAACCUAUGCCGGAAGUGGCAGUUUCAGACAGGAGGGUGGCUUUGGGGGACCUGGGAGAGAGAAAGGCUGCGAGGGUUGUGGCACCAAGUGGCUUUCUGGUCUUGGGGUACGACGUGAGAGGCUCUGGGAUUUAGAAAGAUCUGAUGAAGAACAGUAAGGGGGACGGACACAUCUCACAAAUCUCUAGACUUACAUAGAACAUGAUCUGGUCAAAAAGACUGGAGCCCACAGACAUCUUCGGCGUGGCCUUGGUGAUGCCCAGGAGCUCCCACUCCCCUUGUGUACGGACAAUGUCACGUGAAGUGUCUGCUAUCUCCCACACUUCCUUUGCCAUGCCCAGUAACAUGUUUUCCACUGCAGGGGAGAUAAACACUCAUUCAGCACACUGUUCAGCUUCUGCUCUGUGCAGGGUUCAGAGAGAUGAGCAAGAAAACUGCUUUAGCUCCCUGUCUCUGGCUGUCCAGUAACAUGGCUCUGUCACUCCUCAGUCGCCUCCUUUCAAUUCUGGGCUUUCUCCUCCUAAGUUCAACUCCCCACCACCAUCCACACCCCCCCAAUUAGCAAAUACCCCACUGUCCCUCUCUAGGCAUUAAAAAAAAUAAUAACCUU